rnacentral:misc_RNA from 1 species
AUAUAAAUACAUGUGUACUUAGGUAUAUGUACGUAUAUACCACAUGUAUGCUUAUAUAAUGUGAUUUGAUAAUGUCCUUGACAGCCUUAUCUGCCCGAAAUGAAUAUAUACAUAUAAUAUAGUAGUAAAUACCUUACUGACUACGUCAAUAAAACAAAAGAGUGAAUGAAGUGCUUUAAAGUAUAGUUUUGGGAUAGUGGCAACCUUGUAAGCAUAUCCCUUUUCAGUAGUUACUCUAAACGAAAUUCCACUGUACAUACAUUACAGUUUGUGCCAAAGCUCUAUUGUCAAAGAGGAAAGAGUGCAAAUAAUUAUGAGAGCCUUUCAGUUAAGGUAAAUAUUAAUACUAACAUGUGCAAAGAAAUAUGCGAUAACGUUAUUAACAGGGCAAGAAAGUGUAUAAGUAGUUGUUAUAUGCAGAGAGCAGAAUGAGAAAAUUGUUAAAAUAGCUAUGAUAGCUGGCAAUGGAAACAAUAAAUCGACACAACACACACGUAUAUAGUUAAGUUUAAGUCGUCGGUGGAAAAAAAUAUUAAUCGGAGUGUUAAAAACUGCCUGAACGUGAGUGAACAGAAUUAUAACUUUAGUUUGAUAGUGUGUCUACAACCACACAAGCAUACAUUAAUAGCACUACACUUUUUAAAAAGACAAACAAAUUGAAAUUCAUGCUUUGGAGGAAUAAAUACGCAUUUUCAAUUAGAUCAGCUGAUAAGUUUAAGCUCAAAUUAUGUGUGUAGAAGUAUUAAAGCGCCAGCGAUGUCAUGGCAAAGAGCUGCAGUAUGAAUUACUUAAGCGAGUAUUUAAGAUAAUAUACAAGUGUAUAUAGAGAGAGGGGAGACCACAAAGUUGCCAACCUAUUGAUGGAGAUUUAAAUAUAUAAUCAAAUCAGAUUUAUAAUCUGAUUACAAUCUGUGCAAAAACCAGACUAAAGGCAAGCGGUUAGAUUUAUCAUUGUAAGAAUGAGUUCCACUAAAGAAAUGAAAAACGGCACGAAGACGCAAAAGAAGGCGAUUAAGGCUAACAAAAAACAACAACUGAAACAACAGCAACAACAACUUCAAAAUCAACAGAAUUCAGCAGUUGCGACAGCGGCAACAACAUUAGCGCCCCACCCUGCUGCUCAAUACAGUGUGAAUAAGAUAACCGGUAAAACAAUCAAGAUGACAGUGCCUACAACUACUAUUAAUAAUAACAACAGUAGCGUUAAAAACAACAACAACAUUAAUCAAAAGCUUCCCGAUUCCGCAGUACGAGUAGCGCACGCAACGCCCACCGCUAUGCAACAGCCCGUGGUCUCCAUUUUAACAGGAUAUGAAAAUGCGCCAAAAUUCGAACGAUCGAACAGUUUUUCAUUGCGUGGCAAACUAACGAAAUUGAUCAAUUCAAUUACAGGCAGCAAAGAGAAUAUUAAUAAGCUAGAUGAUGAGAAUGCCACUCCGUACAAGUUCACACGCAGUCGCUCAAUGAUACUCUUGCGGCGGUCGAAUCGUCGUAGUUUAAUUGAACCCCAAUUGGAACAACUAUCUGAGGAGGUUGAUCCAACUUCACCAUCAUCACCUCGUAAAAACUCUGUAGAUAUAAGUGGACAACCAUUUCCUGUACCAUCAUCGUCCAAUAAGUUGGCGGUCAAUGUCAUUUCUGAUAAGAGUGGGACAACUACAAUGAUUACACCGCAACGACAGAACUCUCAGCCAUUGACCUCAACUCCGGUUGAAGAGGGUAGUAAUAGUACAGCUUUGCAGCGAAAGCCAUCAUCCAUAUCCCUGGCACCAGGUGAGGGGAAUGGUGUGCCAUUCAAUCCAAUAGCGAAUUUUCAGCGCCGCCGUUCCAACACGUUACUAGCAUCUUUUAAGAGCACUAUUGCAACAAUAACCGGUGAAAAGAAGAAGGAGAAACUUAAUCCUAAGUGGAGUGCGUCACUACAAUCCUUACAAGCCAUAGACAAUAUGGUAAGCUAUGAGAAUAUGUCCUUCAUCGAUUACGAUAAGUUCAACGGAUAUGAAAAACAACUAGAACGACAGCUUUCCACGCUAAGUUUGCGCAUCGAACAGAAUCCGCCUAUUACACCAAUCAGUAGUACCACAACCGGCACAAACAAUAAUAAAUCGCUUAACGCUCCGGUGACGGUAGUGCGUCGUCGCAAACCGAGUGCCGCUCGUCAACUGGCAGACCGUCGGUGCCAUUCGCGCGGUAGUUUUAAUUUCGACACCGAUUUCGAACAUAAUUUGGACAAACCGCGGAACGUGUAUCGCGAUAGUUUAGAUUCCAGAAAACUUGAACGAUUGAACGACUUUUCUCGCAACUCUUUUAUAUUGGAUAAAGAAAUUGUGGAUUGGUUGAAUUUGGAAGACGGUCGUUUGAGGAAGCAACGCAGAGAUAAGAGUAAUCACCAAAUGAAUGUCGACACCGUGGACUCGUCAGCUGUUGCACAGUUGAAAUCUAAAAGCUUAACACACUUGGACGGACUUGACCCCAUGGUAGCAGGUCAUCGUGGUGUUCCUGUUAGCAUAACACCAAAUAUGAGCCGGAGCGAAGUUUGCACCAAUACAGCCACUUCAACAAUUCAAACCUCUCAACAGCUUUAUCCAGAUCAAUAUCCAUCUGUGUUGAACUCUUCUUCAACGGUAGCGAAUAUAACCAGUGAAGAGACAAUAGCUCCAACAGGCACCAGGCCUGUGAUGAGUUAUAAGAAAAAAUCUCCGUUUGUACAGCGUAAAAAACCACUGCUAACACGCAGUGAGGUCACGAGUUCGGAAUACUUUUCUGUGAGUUUUUGUACAGAUCAAGGUGGUGUUGAGGAGGAAUUCAUACCAGCGACCAAAGGCGUAACUUUGCAUUCCGCGCUAAGUCAAGCAUUGAAAAGACGCAAUUUAACAUUUUCACAAAUCGCCAUUACUGAUAAUAAUCCCCCUAGUAGCUUUUUAGAAACAGGAUACUCACCAUUAGCAAGUUCUUUGGAUGAAAAUNCUGAAGUAGAAAACUUAGCUGGACAUCAUUUGACUGUAACUGAAAGCGAUGGCAGUCGAAAAACUUUGCAAAAGGCCGCAUCAUUUGGUUCCCGCACUCGUCCACCGCGAUUGCUCUCUUCCGCCUCUACGGAAGAGACCAGCGAAGCCGCUGUUCCAGGAAAACAACUCAAACAACGCUGGUCCGGUUUGUUCGGUAUUAAAAAUCCACAGCAAAGUCAAUUAUGUGAACUACUUAAUAGUUACGCAAAGAAUGGUGUACCACAAAAGAGGGCAUCAGUAAAUUUCGAUCAUCCGGAUUUUGAUGCGGCCUUGGCGUAUUUGGACAAUAUGCACAAGUCGUGGAAGGAUAUUGUGGAUAGCACAACUAUGAAUGACAGCGAAAUGAGAAUACAAACUGCAAUUUGGGAGUUAGUUACCACCGAAGUAUACUACAUUCACGCACUCCAAACAGUAACGGAUCUCUUUUUGGCAUGUUUAGAAGCUGUACAAUUGGAGCGACUGCUUACCGAUGUAGAUCAACAUCGACUAUUUUCGAAUGUACGGGAUAUAUGCGAAGCCAAUCUUAAGUUCUGGACUCUUUAUCUCUACCCCAUGGUGGCGCACAGUGUCGCUACUGGUGAACCUCUACGUGUGGCUUUCUUCCAACAGGGUUUUGUUGCUUUCGCCUCAAUAUUCGCACCAUACAAAAAGUAUUGUGCAGAACAGAGUACUUGUCAAUUCUAUUGCAAGGAACUUAACCAUAACAAUGCACUUUUUACAUCUUAUUUGGCCUGGUGUGAGUCGCAAAAGCUGUGUAAUCGGCUCCGAUUGGCCGACAUUUUAGUGCGGCCGAUGCAGCGAUUGACCAAGUACAGUCUGCUUUUGACAGCGAUCAAGAAGCACAUGUUGGAUAUGGAGCAAAUCGAGUCAGUCGAUUCAAUGAUCCAUUCGGUUGAGAACUUCGUGUUUAGUGUGAAUAACCACUUGACAACGCGACAGGAAAAUGAACGUUUGAAAGGUGUUAUGGCGCGAAUUGAGUCCUAUGAUGUAGUGGACACCAACAACGAGCAACUAGACAAAAUUAUAAAGCAAUAUAAUAAAAUGUUUGACUUGUGCGCUCCAAUGAAAGGAUGUCCAGCGCACCAAGUGCGCCAUCUCUUCAUGGAAGGCGACCAUAAAUUUAAAGACAACCUUGGCAAGACCGACGUUCAUUGUUUUUUGCUGACGGAUAUGCUGCUUAUCUGCAAAGCGAUCGCGAAACGUGGUCUCGGUUCGCUGAAAGUGAUUCGUCAACCGUACUUAACCGAUAGACUUGUUGUACAACAAAGCAAUAAUAUUUUAAAUUGUAUCUACCUCAAUGAAUUUGAAGUGGUUGUUACUGCAUUCACUCUACAAUGUUCGGAGGCAAAAAAUUGGUAUGAGUCAAUAAAGCGCGCUAAAAUGAUUUACACAAGACUGAAACAAGGUACCGGCAAUUGGGAAAAUGUCCGUUUGGUUGCGGGGAGUGGAGUAAGUGGCAGCACAGUGGAUGCACUUGGCAUAAAAAAAUCGCCAAUGAAUUCGUCAAUAUGCAGUCACGUAUCUAGCGCCAAUAAUAGUCACAGCGGCUCUACCGAGUGGAAUGAUUCGCGUAAUAUAUCGGUGGAAUUUGAAAAGACCAAUUCAUUAUCCAGUGAGGAUGGCUCUAUGAGCAAAAAUUUGCAAUCCGGUCCACUCAAACUCAAAGUUAACACUGCAAGGGCGAACACACUUUCAGUACAGCCACUUAAUCAUUUGGGACAAAGUCUGCCGAACCUUAACCUGAACCAAAGCCAUACUACCCUCGACAGUAACCUAUAUUAUACUUAUAGUAAUAAUACACUACUGGUACCUGGCACGACAACAAGCCAUUCCGGAAAUUUGUUGCUUUCGCCUAGUCAUAGAGGAAUUUCUUAUCCACCUCCUAGUCCAACAAGAGUUCCACUUCGUCGCGGCAUGGCCUUUUCUACCUCCACCAAAAAUCCGCCACUUGUCAAAACUCGCAAUAUUACGUCACAGAAUAGCAUUAACUGGUCACAACCGCAAUCUGCAGCGCCAAACUUACAACACCGACACAAAGUACCAAUUAAUAGCAGCGUAGCGAGUAACGCAUCGAACGCCAUGCUAUCAACACCUCUUGGUGGAGCACAGCUUACUCAAAAUAAAAGUUACGGAACUAACGAAAGUACAACCAGUGCAAGACCUGAAACCAUGGCAAUUCAACUGUCCAAUGAUUUGACAGAUGGUACUUGCCAACAGCAACAGCAUCCUCACCAAAUGCCUACCUGCAACGAAACCGAUGUUUGAUUCGUUUGCAAGCAAAUGACAGCAAAAGCAGCCUUUGUACCGCAACGGAAUUAAAAUAUGGAAAAUCAUGCAACGAAAAUAUGUUGCUGUUGCGGUUAUUGGGAAAGAGAGUAAUUGAAAUAGACUAUUCCUGGCUUUAUUUCAAAUUAUAAAGCGUNCGGAAGGAUUAAAGGGCUAACAUGCGUACAAACCAAAAACUAAACCUUUGUAUACAAAAAGAUACUGUAGAAAACAUGUUGUUUAUUAAAUUACUUUUGACAAAAAGCUGCAAAAUUUUAACAAAAAAUAUGAAGGCAAAUAGGGAUUAGUAAAAUACUAGGGAAUAGUUAUUAGUACAUACAUAUGUAGUGGAUAUCAAUUUGUAUUCAAAUCAAAUAUAAUAUAUACCAAUAAUAAUUUACAAGUAAUGUAGCAAUAGAUUGCAUAAAAUCAGAACAACUAAAUAAAAUAUCAAAAUCAAAGCAAAAAUAUUUAAAGAAAGUAAAUAAGAAACAUCAACCAUAUUUUACCAAUACAAAGUAUGCAACGAUUUUUUAUAUUUUAAAUUUAAAAAUAUGUAAGUUCAUAAGAUUUAAUCAAAUCAGUAGGAGGAAAUGUGUAGUGAAGUAAGCAUCACCAUAUGGCAUCAAAUGUACAAGUGUACAUACAUANAUAUAUGUAUGUCUCCACAAAAAUGUGGAUAUUUAGUAAUGGUUGUAGUGCUGUUAAUAAGUUAAUUAGGUUAUUGUAUAAAUGCAACAAUAUGUAGAAAUGGCGUUAGAAGCCUGAAUAACGAACUUGUACUUAUAGAAAUUCUCCUUUCACUUGUGUCCUUCCACAAGCCUACAGCUGUGAACGUAGUAGUAUAUUCAGUGUAUUUUAUAUAUAUUUUUUUACAAUCAGUAAUACCUUAUAAUGUUUAAAUAGGCGAGCAAUUUUAUUGUAAAUAAAUUUGUAGUUUAUCUAAAACCGCGUAGCCAUUAGAGUUUGUAUUAAAUUGCAAGAAAAUUAUUCAAAUUGCUAGCAUUCAGAUAACUGGUAUAAAAUAUACAACAAA